UAAAACAUGAGGUAGAAGAACUAGUAAAUUUUGAAUCAUUGGUUGAUUUUCCAUGCCAUCACGCAUGUCCUCUUCUUCUCUCCUCACUAGCCACAGAAGAAAGUCACCUCACUCUGUAUCCACAAGCUACAUUGACAACUAAAUGAUGGGAGGGCACUGUGUGGCUCUCCUGGACUCCUUGGUCUCUCAAAGUGCUAAGAGGGGGAGAAUCUGAACAUGCAGCUAUGUACAGUGUCCUUUUCUUGAACCACUGCCACUUCAUCCAAUCUGGUAUAUGGCACUUGCAUGUAGUACUUCCCUCACAAUUCACUGUUCAGUAAUGUUUCCCCUGAUAGUUGUAAACCUCAGUGAUUGGAAUCCUCGGGACUGAGAUCACAGGCAUAAAAGUCUGCUUGCCCUUCUACUGAAAUCUAAUUUAUUCUUCUUUUACUAUUUGGAUGAGAUGGAGUAUUGCUGUCCAAUGCUGUGCAGUCCAUUGCUGUAUCUGGGCUGAAAGAAGAAAAUCCUUAAGAUGACUUAUUCAAUUACCUGCAUUUUCAAAAUUGUGUUAACGUACCCCAAGUUAAAACAGGUCCUCAAAGACUGGGCCAGAUAUUUUGAGGUCUGUUCCAGCCUAGGCUGCUUUAUGGUUCUGUGAUUCAAAAGGUACAUUUUAUUCUACUCUCUGACCAGCAGCAAGGCUAUAGACCUCUUCCCAGAAAUUCAGAGAUGUCAAAAUUAGGGAAAAUUCCGUACUAUGUUCACACCAGAGCUAAGUAUGUAUUUAUUAUCUUUGUUAAACUGUUUAUUUCACCUUUCUCCUUCACUCAGAUGA